GCAAUAGUUUCCUCACUAAAUGAAGACAUGGAUGGCACCCACAACAGCAAACAACCACUGAUAAGUCAUACUCUCUUCCUGUUGGUGGUUCAAUUUGGCACAACACAGCUUAUCAAUUAAUUAAAAGAUUAUUUUAACCAGCAUGUCUGUUUUAAAAUGUCCUAGCCUAGGGAGAGACUAGUACAAGACCUGAUAUGGCUGUAAGCUCCCCUAAUACUGCCCAGCCAAUCACAGCUGCUGCAGACAGUCAGCAUGUAUACGGUCAUCCUUUUUGUGUUAAUUGUUAACUCUUGUUCAUUGUGGAGAAAAUAAAGCAUUUCUAAAAUUUCAUGAA